AUUGAACGCUGGCGGCAUGCCUUACACAUGCAAGUCGAACGGCAGCACGGGAGCAAUCCUGGUGGCGAGUGGCGAACGGGUGAGUAAUAUAUCGGAACGUGCCCAGUCGUGGGGGAUAACGUAGCGAAAGCUACGCUAAUACCGCAUACGAUCUAUGGAUGAAAGCGGGGGAUCGCAAGACCUCGCGCGAUUGGAGCGGCCGAUAUCAGAUUAGGUAGUUGGUGGGGUAAAAGCCUACCAAGCCUUCGAUCUGUAGCUGGUCUGAGAGGACGACCAGCCACACUGGAACUGAGACACGGUCCAGACUCCUACGGGAGGCAGCAGUGGGGAAGUUUUGGUACAAUGGGCGGCAAGCCUUCGAUCCAGCAAUGCCGCCGUGCAGGA
rnacentral:rRNA from 1 species